UAUUGGGCCAAAGCCCGAGAUGCCCGCCGGCAAAAUAAAAAUCACUUCUUUACCUCCGCCGCCACGCCGAAAUGGCGCCUCCCCUUCUGCUCCUCCUCCUCCCGCUCCUCGCCGCCGCCACGCCGCCCGCGCACCCAGACGAGCCUCCGUCCUGCGCCGCUGUGGCCGCGCCGGUGCCCUUGCCGGAGCGGCGGGAGGCGCACGGCGGGGGCCGCAUCCUGGACAUCACCCACUACUACCGGGAGGACAUGCCCUCCUGGGAGUCCGACGCCGGGAUCGGCCAGUUCCUCUGGCUGCCCGCCUCCAUGCGCAACGGCUCGCUCGCCAACAACUCCGAGAUGCGGAUGCCCACGCACACCGGCACCCACGUCGACGCCCCCGGCCACGUCUUCCAGCACUACUUCGACGCCGGCUUCGACGUCGACACGCUCGACCUCGACGUCCUCAACGGUCCUUCACUGUUGGUUGAUGUUCCAAGGGAUCAAAAUAUUACUGCUAAAACAAUGGAAUCUCUACAAAUUCCUAAAGGUGUUCAGCGUGUACUAUUUAGAACAUUAAACACUGACAGGCAGCUAAUGUGGAAGAAAGAGUUUGACACAAGUUAUGUGGGCUUUAUGAAGGAUGGUGCCCAAUGGUUGGUAGAUAAUACAGAUAUCAAGCUUAUUGGAAUAGACUAUUUGUCUGUUGCAGCUUUUGAUGACUUGAUCCCUUCACAUUUAGUUCUUCUCAAAAACCGGGUAUGCUGAUACUUCAAGUAAUUUUAUUUAGUUCACAUUUAUUUACUGAAUUCACUGUGCAUUCUUUCAAUUUUGGGCAACCAAACCCUGCAACUGAGGAAAAGCCCCUAGUUAUGGAAAGCCCUUCUCAAGGAAGAUAUCAUUCUUGUCGAGGGUCUCAAACUGGAGAAUGUCAAUCCUGGGCUAUACUCUGUGCAUUGUCUGCCACUUCGGUUGCGUGGAGCUGAAGGUUCGCCGAUCAGAUGCAUCCUUAUAAAGUGAUGAAAUUGUUGUUAUGUCUCCCGCCGCAUCCUUGUUUGGUACAACACAAGCAAUUUGCCUCUCUCUUGAAAAUCAUGUGAAUAGCUAGCCAAUAUAUGUUGUUUCCUUAUGUUACAGUAGGCUAAAUGCUGAGUACAUAUGCUGUCAUAUCAUCAUGUAUGGCUAAACCAGAUCUGUAAUCCAUUAUUUUGGGCACAAGCUCUGAUAUCAUCAUGCUAUAUUAAUAUUUCUCCUAUAUAUAACCUCGUUGACAACUAUCAUGGACAA